rnacentral:rRNA from 1 species
AUUGAACGCUGGCGGCAUGCCUUACACAUGCAAGUCGAACGGUAACGGGUCCUUCGGGAUGCCGACGAGUGGCGAACGGGUGAGUAAUAUAUCGGAACGUGCCCAGUAGUGGGGGAUAACUGCUCGAAAGAGCAGCUAAUACCGCAUACGACCUGAGGGUGAAAGGGGGGGAUCGCAAGACCUCUCGCUAUUGGAGCGGCCGAUAUCAGAUUAGCUAGUUGGUGGGGUAAAGGCCUACCAAGGCAACGAUCUGUAGUUGGUCUGAGAGGACGAGCAGCCGCACUGGGACUGAGACACGGCCCAGACUCCUACGGGAGGCAGCAGUGGGGAAUUGUGGACAAGGGGCGCAAGCCUGAUCCAGCAAUGCCGCGUGCAGGAAGAAGGCCUUCGGGUUGUAAACUGCUUUUGUCAGGGAAGAAAUCUUCUGGGCUAAUACCCCGGGAGGAUGACGGUACCUGAAGAAUAAGCACCGGCUAACUACGUGCCAGCCGCCGCCGUAA